UACAGGGGGGGCAAGGCGUUGUUCGGAAUUACUGGGCGUAAAGGGGUUCGUAGGUGGCUUACUAAGUCAGACGUGAAAUCCCUCAGCUUAACUGGGGAACUGGCGUCUGAUACUGGAAAGCUUGAGUGCAGGAGAGGAACGCGGAAUUCCAGGUGUAGCGGUGAAAUGCGUAGAUAUCUGGAGGAACACCGGUGGCGAAGGCGGCGUUCUGGACCGUAACUGACGCUGAGACACGAAAGCGUGGGUAGCAAACAGG
rnacentral:rRNA from 1 species